rnacentral:sRNA from 1 species
AUGGACAUUUUCGGACCA